rnacentral:rRNA from 1 species
GACAGAGGAUGCAAGCGUUAUCCGGAAUGAUUGGGCGUAAAGCGUCCGCAGGUGGCAGUUCAAGUCUGCUGUCAAAGACCGGGGCUUUAACUUCGGAAAGGCAGUGGAAACUGAACAGCUAGAGUAUGGUAGGGGCAGAGGGAAUUCCUGGUGUAGCGGUGAAAUGCGUAGAGAUCAGGAAGAACAUCGGUGGCGAAGGCGCUCUGCUGGACCAUAACUGACACUCAGGGACGAAAGCUAGGGGAGCGAAUGGG